AGCUCCAUUAGCGUAUAUUAAAGUUGUUGCAGUUAAAAAGCUCGUAGUUGGAUUUCGGUGUGGGCCAGUCGGUCGGCCGCAAGGCUUGUUCACUGGCUGGUCUGCUCUCUCAAUCUCAAAGACUGCACGUGCUCUUCACUGUAGUGUGUGUCAGGAUUUGGGACGUUUACUUUGAAAAAAUUAGAGUGUUCAAAGCAGGCACGUUGUGGCCACUGAAUACAUGAGCAUGGAAUAAUGGAAUAGGACUACGGUCCCUAUUUCGUUGGUUUCGAGGACCGAAGUAAUGAUUAAGAGGGACAAUUGGGGGCAUCCGUAUUUCGUAGUCAGAGGUGAAAUUCUUGGACCUACGAAAGACGAACAACUGCGAAAGCAUUCGCCAAGAGUGUUUUCAUUAAUCAAG
rnacentral:rRNA from 1 species